GGAAAGAUGCCAGAGUGGUCGAAUGGACCGCACUCGAAAUGCGGCGAGCGAGUCACAUUGCUCCUAGGGUUCGAAUCCCUAUCUUUCCG
rnacentral:tRNA from 1 species